rnacentral:tmRNA from 1 species
GGGAGUGUUUUGGUUUCGACAGGGUUUUGGAACAAGAAUAAGCAUGUGGAAGGGCAUACUUCCUAAAAAUAGCAAAUUAAAUUUAAACGCAGAAGAUAAUAACUUCGCUUUUGCAGCUUAAUUGCUGCUUAAUGCUACUUAGUAGAACCUACGGCUACUAACUAGUAUCAUUAUUUAGUAGGAAACCUAUUUAACAAAGCUUUGAGUUAAAUACGGACUUUAUGAAGCUACCAAUUUAGAAGUUUUGUUAAUUAACGCCUAAAUCGGAAAUUCAAAAAAUUAACUAAACAUGUAGAAAUUUCUUCGGAAGAUUCUUUGGACGCGAGUUCGAAUCUCGCCACUUCCACCA